rnacentral:rRNA from 1 species
UACAGAGACUGCAAGCGUUUAUUCGGAUUCACUGGGCGUAAAGGGUGCGCAGGCGGCCAAGUGUGUCAGGUGUGAAAUCCCGAGCUUAACCUCGGAACUGCGCCUGAAACUACUUGGCUAGAGUACUGGAGAGGGUAACGGAAUUCACGGUGUAGCAGUGAAAUGCGUAGAUAUCGUGAGGAACACCAGAGGCGAAGGCGGCGACCUGGGCCAAUAUUGACGCUGAGGUGCGAAAGCGUGGGGAGCGAACAGG